rnacentral:rRNA from 1 species
CAGUCGAACGAGGGUCCUUCGGGACUCGAGUGGCGAACGGGUGAGUAACACGUAGGGAACCUGCCCGUGCGACCGGGAGAACUUUCGGAAACGGAAGCUGAUACCGGAUAGGGACAGAGACGGCAUCGACUCUGUGUUAAAGGAGCUGAAAGGCUCCGCGCACGGAUGGACCUGCGGUGCAUUAGCUGGUUGGUGAGGUAACGGCCCACCAAGGCGACGAUGCAUAGCCGGCCUGAGAGGGCGGACGGCCACACUGGGACUGAGACACGGCCCAGACUCCUACGGGAGGCAGCAGUAGGGAAUUUUCGUCAAUGGGCGCAAGCCUGAACGAGCAAUGCCGCGUGAACGAGGAAGGUCUUCGGAUCGUAAAGUUCUGUUGAAGGGGAAAAAGAGCGGAGAGAGGAAAUGGUCUCCGAUUGAUAUUACCCUUCGAGGAAGUCACGGCUAACUACGUGCCAGCAGCCGCGGUAAUACGUAGGUGGCGAGCGUUAUCCGGAAUGAUUGGGCGUAAAGGGUGCGUAGGCGGCCUGCUAAGUCUGGAGUGAAAGGUACCGGCUCAACCGGUAUAGGCUCUGGAAACUGGCGGGCUAGAGAGCAGGAGAGGGCGGUGGAACUCCACGUGUAGCGGUAAAAUGCGUAGAUAUAUGGAAGAACACCAGUGGCGAAGGCGGCCGCCUGGCCUGUUACUGACGCUGAGGCACGAAAGCGUGGGGAGCAAAU